AGUGGAAUAGCUGGGUCAUAUGGUAGUCCCAUUCCUAAAUUUUUGAGGAAUUUCCACACUGCUUUCCAGAAUAGUUUGACUAAUUUGCAGUUCCACCAACAAU
rnacentral:pre_miRNA from 1 species